rnacentral:tRNA from 19 species
UGGCCCGUUGGUCAAGUGGUUAAGACACCGCCCUUUCACGGCGGUAACACGGGUUCGAAUCCCGUACGGGUCAUGUU